UACAGAGACUGCAAGCGUUAUUCGGAUUCACUGGGCGUAAAGGGUGCGCAGGCGGCCAAGUGUGUGAGGCGUAAAAGCCUGGGGCUUAACCCCAGAAUUGCACCUCAAACUACUUGGCUAGAGCAUUGGAGAGGGUAGCAGAAUUCAUGGUGUAGCAGUGAAAUGCGUAGAUAUCAUGAGGAAUACCAGAGGCGAAGGCGGCUACCUGGACAAUUGCUGACGCUCAGGCACGAAAGCGUGGGGAGCAAAAGGG
rnacentral:rRNA from 1 species